rnacentral:tRNA from 1 species
CCGUCGAUAGCUCAGUUGGUAGAGCGGUGGACUGUAGAGGUCUCACAAGGACAUCCAUAGGUCGCUGGUUCGAAUCCGGCUCGACGGA